GUCUCCUUGGGGACAUCUGAUAAAAUUGUAACAAUAUAGAGAAGUUUAAUAUGGCCCCUGUGUAAGGAUGACACACACAAAUUUGGAAAGAAAGAAAAAAGAUAUUU
rfam:Triticum aestivum genome assembly, contig: Triticum_aestivum_CS42_TGACv1_scaffold_095825_2AL